rnacentral:misc_RNA from 1 species
GAAAACCAUACCCAACCAAUUGUGUACUUUAUUUUUUUUAAGAACCAAUUAUAUAGUUACCUUUACAAGAACAGUUCAUAUACACAAAUAUGAUGAUCAAUGAACCCUCGCAGUCGAUUUGGUAGCAAAAAUGGUCUCAACUUCUCCUCUUCCCCUUCCAAGGUGAGCAUCAUAUGAGUGACCACUCGUACCCACAACACUAAUCUUUCACAAAAUUUAAUAUUUUCCACUUUUCAACUCUGAAACAGGAAGAUCAGUAAAGUGGCAAAUGGGUGGAAGAUGGUCCCUCUCUCCAAGCCAAAUGGCAGUGUUUAAUAGGUAUUCGAGCUAUAUGUAAGAUUUAGGCAAAUCUUUUCUUCAUGGUAUCAAGUCUUUCAAACCAAAACAAAAAAUUUACAGAAUUCAAAUUUUGGUCACUCAUGUAUUAGUUGAGUAUAAGGUAAGGUGGGCCUGUAAUUGUUCAUGCUUCAAGUCUAGUGGGCUUUGGCGUGUGAGGUGUAACUACAAACUUAAACUUUUUAGGUUAAGUUGUUC